GCUUUGAGAGCACCGCUACAGAUACAGAGGUACAAAACACUCAGGAGGACCACUGCCCACCUGUGUUCACCAGGGCAGAUGUGUGCAGACUUUA